rnacentral:rRNA from 1 species
GAUGAACGCUGGCGGCGUGCCUAAUACAUGCAAGUCGAGCGAACAGACGAGGAGCUUGCUCCUCUGACGUUAGCGGCGGACGGGUGAGUAACACGUGGAUAACCUACCUAUAAGACUGGGAUAACUUCGGGAAACCGGAGCUAAUACCGGAUAACAUGUUGAACCGCAUGGUUCAACAGUGAAAGACGGUCUUGCUGUCACUUAUAGAUGGAUCCGCGCCGCAUUAGCUAGUUGGUAAGGUAACGGCUUACCAAGGCAACGAUGCGUAGCCGACCUGAGAGGGUGAUCGGCCACACUGGAACUGAGACACGGUCCAGACUCCUACGGGAGGCAGCAGUAGGGAAUCUUCCGCAAUGGGCGAAAGCCUGACAGAGCAACGCCGCGUGAGUGAUGAAGGUCUUCGGAUCGUAAAACUCUGUUAUUAGGGAAGAACAAAUGUGUAAGUAACUAUGCACGUCUUGACGGUACCUAAUCAGAAAGCCACGGCUAACUACGUG